rnacentral:lncRNA from 1 species
GUUGUAUCGAAAUAAUUACAAAGUGGGAGAAGCAAAUGUCUGUAGAAGGAUCAUCUGAGUUGGAUGUAUGGCCUUAUCUUGCAAAUUUGACAAGUGAUGUGAUUUCUCGAACGGCUUUUGGGAGUAGUUAUGAAGAAGGAAGAAGGAUUUUUCAGCUCCAGGCAGAGCUAGCUGAACUCACAAUGCAGGUCUUUCGUUCAGUUCACAUUCCAGGAUGGAGGUAUAUUCACAUUUCUCUUCACUGGAAACAUUCAUAUAUACAUGUCAUAUAGGAUUAUUUAUGAUUAGGCUUUGAUUAACUUUGCGGGAGUUAUUUUCUUUCGCGCAAAAUAUUAGAAGUAGACCUAGCUGAUUCGGCUCAGAUAUCUUGAUUGUGCUAAUCAUAGAGUUAUUCUAAGAGGCUCCAGCAGAUUUCUGAUUGGUAAAAAGAGGGCAAAAAAAAAUUAAGGGUUUGAUUAGUUUGUUUAGUUCUUGUCUUUUCAGUUGUUUCAUUGCUUAUAUAUAGGUUUUUACCUACAAAGAGAAAUAGGAGAAUGAAAGAAAUUGACAAGGAAAUCCGGGCUUCAUUGAUGGGAAUCAUCAAAAAUAGGGAGAAGGCAAUGAAAGCAGGGGAAGCUGCGAACGAUGACUUGUUAGGCAUACUGAUGGAAACCAGUUUUAGAGAGAUUGAAGAACAUGGAAAUAACAAAAAUGUUGGGUUCAGCAUGAACGAUGUGAUCGAAGAGUGUAAGCUAUUUUACUUUGCCGGCCAAGAGACUACCUCUGUUUUGCUUAAUUGGACGAUGGUCUUAUUGAGCAAGCAUCAAGAUUGGCAAGAACGUGCAAGGCAAGAGGUUUUGCAAGUGUUUGGCAAUAAUAAGCCCAACUAUGAUGGAUUGAAUCACCUCAAAAUUGUAAGUACGAAGGAAAUAGUAUUCGAUAUUGAUCAAUUUGAUCAUAUUAAUCUCAGUUGUGUUUGUAUGUAUGUGACAGGUCCAGAUGAUACUUUACGAGGUACUCAGGCUUUAUCCGCCCGUAACUGCGCUUAGUCGAUCUGUUCUUAAGGAAACGAAACUCGGAAACUUGACAUUACCCGCUGGGGUUCAAAUUGGCUUGCCAAUGAUCCUAGUUCACCAGGAUCCUGAACUUUGGGGUUACGAUGCAGUUGAGUUUAAGCCGGAAAGGUUUGCGGAAGGAAUUUCAAAGGCGGCCAAAAAUCAAGUUUCAUAUUUCCCAUUCGCAUUGGGUCCUAGGAUAUGUGUUGGACAAAAUUUUGCUCUAGUAGAAGCAAAAAUGGCCAUGGCAAUGAUUCUUCAAAACUACUCAUUCGAGUUGUCUCCAUCCUAUGUCCAUGCUCCAACGGCGGUUCCAACCCUUCAUCCGGAACUGGGUACCCAAUUGAUUCUACGGAAACUAAGGUGCAAAAAUAAUUAAUGCCGGCAACUAUAUAUUGUCAAUAAGAUUAGCAUGAUGCCAAUGUAGACUCUUUUAUAAUGAAGUUUAAUGUAUUUAAUUUUGUAUUGAGAUUCAAAGCUUAGACAAGAGCUGUUUAGAUUUUUAAAUUGAGCUCAACACAACUCUAGUUUUAUUUAGAGUAAAGAUGUUUCCCCACAUUGGAAAAUUUUAUAACGCCAUGAUUAGAAUUACAGCAUUAAUGUUGUGGUAAAAAAUAUAUUUUAUAAAAGGCCAAAAGCUUGCUUAGUCCCUACAUUAUGAGCUUAGUGCUCAUUUAAUCUCUAUAUUUUUAAGAAUACCUCAAAACGUCCUUACUAUUAAAUAUUGACAUUUAUACCAUUAUUUUUUUAGCAUGUUUUUACAAUUUUACACUCUUACAGUAAUGUUUCUUUUUUAGAAAUUAAUAAAAAAUUGGAUUAUCAAAUUAAACCCAAAAAUAAAAUAAAAAACAAAAAAGAUAUAUAUUAAUUUUUGUGGAAGCUCAUGUGUGUCCAAAAAAAAAUAAUUUUGUAAAAAAUUAAAUUAUCAAUUUUGUAAAAAAUUAAAUUAUCAAUUUUGUAAAAACUUAAAUUAUCAAUUUUUUUUUAAAAAUUAAUAUUUUAACUUCUCAGCAGAGUGUUCCACAAAAAUUAAUAUAUAUAUUGUUUUUAUUUUAUUUUUUGGUGUUAAACUAGUAAUUUAAUUUUUCUUUUUAAUAAUGUUUAAAAAAGGAACAUUAUUGUAAUAGGGUAAUAUUGUAAAAAUAAGUCAAAAUGAACAAAAGGUAAUGGCAAGGAUGUCAAUAAUUUAAUGAUAGGGAUGUUUUGAGAUGUUUUUAAAAAUAUAAGGACUAAACGGACACUAACCUUAAAAUAUAGGAACUAAACGAACUUUUACCCUUUAUAAAAUUAUACAUAAGAUAAGUGAUUGGAAGAUAAAACAUGUAAAUUAAUAUAAGCCAGUUAAUUAUUAAAACAAUUAACAUGAUUUCUACAUAAUUUUAGUGAAAAAUAAUUUUUUCAUUUACUUUAGCUAAACAAUGAAAUAAAAAUAGUCAUCAAUCUAAGACCAAAAAAAUUAUACUAAAAACAAGUAGAAUAAGUUUUACUGAAUUGGUUUAAGAAUAAAUUCUAUAUUUGUCUUAAGAUAUUUAUAAACUUUUUUUUUUCAUUUUCUAUCAUUGUUUUUUUUUUACUACACAAGUUAACUAAGUGAAAUAAUUUAUCUUAAUGUGGAUUAAACAAAAAAUAAAAUAAAAACAUGUUCUUAUAUUACUAAACACAUAUAUGACAUAUCAAUAAAGUUAGAUUUAAUUUUGAGUUUUACAAGUACUUCUUGUAAUUUUAACCGUGACCCCUUACUUGUAUUUAGAAACUAGUUGCAUUACUGAUGAGGAGAUUUAGAAGGAUGAAAAAUCAUGUCAUCUUACAAUAAAUUCAAAAAACAUUAAAAGAAUAGAUUUCAAAAUCUAAUUUUGAGAAUAAAUUUAUAUAAAACAUCACAUUUAUUACAUAAGACCAAAACUAUCAUUAUUCAAUUUAAAAUAGAAUUAAUAAAUAUAUAAGGUAAUCAAUAUUAUAAUGAGUUUUUAUUUUACAUUUGUAAGUUUUUUUUAAUAACUCUUAUAUUAAUUUUGUAAAUUACACCUAAACUUAUGUUUUAUUUGUACUUAAUAUUGAUUUAUAGUUUUAUAUUAUGUCUUUAAAUUUUUAUUUUGUUCACUACCAAUACAUUAAUUUACCAAUCUUAUAUUAAUUUACUUAUUUUAUCUUUUAUUUACAUGUCUUAUGUUUCAUUUACGCAAUUUAUAUUUUAUUUCACACUAAAUAUUGAUUUAUAAAUUAUAUAUUACAUUUGUAAGUUUUUCUUUUGUUUAUCAAUAAUAUACCAGUUUAUCACUCCUAUUUUAAUUUGUUUGUUUUACCUUCUACUUACAAGUCUAAUAUUUUAUUUACAUAAUUUAUAUGUUAUUUCACAGUUAAUAUUGAUUUACAUGCUUUAUAUUAAAUUUAUAAGUCUUAUGUUUCAUUUACAUAAUUCAUAUUUGAUUACAUAAAUUCAUGACAUCAUCAAGUGACCUUGUACUUUAUAAUCGGGUGAGGCUAUUUAUUUAUAUAUUCUAAAAGUUAUUUUUAAUCCUCUUUAUUUAAUAAAAUUUUAUAUUAUAAAAAUGUCCUUUUAUGAAAUUAGUAUUAAGGAUUGAAUAAUUUUAACUUGAAACAAAUAUCCUUGACACACCCAUGUAUUAUAAAAUCUUAAAUCACCAUCAUCAUCUUCUUCUUCUUCUUUUUAAAUCAAUUUUUUUUCAAUUGGAAAAUUUGAAAGAUUGAAGACUUCUUUGCAAAUUUUUGUCAUGGGUGCACGUAUCCUCACUCUAAUAUCGUUUUCACCAAAUAUAUUUCAUUAACAUCUUCGAAAUAAGAUUAAUGGAAAUUAUAUUUAUGUAACUGAUACCUCAAUGAUAAAUUGUAGCCAAUACAUACUAAAAAUCAAAAUCACAAGAACUAUGAUUCAAUAAAAGAAACGAAGAAUUAUGAUUCAAUAAAAGAAAAAGGGAUAUAUAAUUUAUCUCAAGCCUUUAAUAAGAAGAGAGAAAAUUACUUUAGAAAAAGAAUAAUAAAACAGGAGCCCCCCAAAAAAAAAAUUCAAGACUAUUUUUUAGAUUUAUAUAUUUUACAUAGUAAAAAUUUGAUUUUAAAUUUUAAACGUUGUAUUUGAAAUAAUGAGUGCGCAGGCGGACCUAAGCGGGGGUGUAGCCCGGAUUAGUCCAGGAAAGUUAUUUAUAGCCCUUAUUUUUUUAUUAAUUUUAUAUAAUAAUAUAGUUUUAUUUUUUUUCAUAUUUGUCCCUAAUUUAACUACCCUUAUGUUUUUUUUUAUCAAUUUUAUAAAAUAAUACAGUUUUUAUUUUAUUUUCAAAUAUGUUCCUAAUUCAAUUAUAUUUUCUUCCCAAUUGGAAUUAGUGACUUAUUUCAUGAAAUAAUUAAAUUAUAUAUUUAUUGAAUAAAUUGAAAAGAUUUGGGAGCUAAAAUAUUAUUACUGUUUUAAUUUAUUUAUAAAAAUAAUUUAAUUGAAAAAAUGCCAAUACUUACAAAAACAAAAUAUAGUAACAACUAUAUAUCAACAUUUCUUAACUUUUAUGUGAAUUUUGAGAUUUUAGUUAUUAGUUACAUUAACCAAGAGGAUAAGUUAUAAGAUAAAAUUUAAAUAUUUUGAGGAGUUUUUGAUAGAAAAACCGUCAACAGUAGGUUCUUUAAAAAAAAGGUAGAGUGUAUGACAAAGAAACAAUGAUACCCAAAUAACUUUAUGUUAAGUUGAGUUUAGUUUAUUAUUAAAACUUUUGACUAAUAAUAUUUUAAAAUUUAAAAAGACGAAUAAAUUUUAAUUGUUUAAUUUAUUUAAGCUUGGUAAUUAAGUACUUGACUUCAAAUAUAAAAGUUUUACUACCAUUUUUAAUAAAUUGUGAUUACAUGUAUAGAUUUAUUUUAGCUUGAAAUUCUCAAUUGAUUUACUUAAAGGUUUUAUUGAGGACUUUUUUAGUAUUUUAAAAAGUGUGCAGAGUUAAAGAGAGUAGCUUUUUCAGUAUUUUAUGAGAUCGUGGCUGCAGCUGUUAAGAGAGUAGCUUUAAAAGGAAAUGUGGCAAACAUGGAGGCAGAAGCAGUGCUGCUUGGUAUUCAAGUAGCUCAGAAAACAAAUUGUACCCUAUUCAUUGUCGAAUCAGACUUGAAGGAAGUUGUGGAGCUCACUUUAAACAAGAAGGAAAGUUUAGCUAAAAUUUGUUGGAACAUUGAAGAAAUACAAGCAGAGUUGAAAAACCAGGCCUCGGCAGCUAUUCGUUUUGUCCCAAGAAAGUGUAAUGUAAUAGCCCAUAACUUAGCUAAUGUAGCUCUUGAGUUUGAGGAUCCUAUCUAUCACAUGGAUAGGUGAUUUCCCUGUCCAGCUGUUGAUGUUGUUCUCUUCUUCUUAAUCAAUUGAAUGCUUUACUUUCUCAUAGAAAAAAAAAGAGUGUGUGCAGAGUAAAAAUUAAUUAUUUUAAAGAGUGAGUAUAUUUGAACCCACCAAAUUACUUUGUAAACUCAUCUACUUAUUAAUUCUAUUGUUAAAAAUUUUAUAUUAUACUUUAUAAACCCAUGUUAAUAACCAACAUAUCCUUGAAAUUAAUUCAUGAUUUUCUGCAACAUUUUUCUUCUCUUCUUCUUCUUCCAUCUCUCCAACCCUUGGCGCAUUCAUAACCAAAGGUCGUAUCCUUCAACUUCUCAAGUGGAAUUUAUUUUUUGUCCGCGCUUGUCAUUAAACUAUUAUAAAGUAUAUAUAAUAUCAUGAAAAAAUUAAAUGACAAUAAGAUGAUAGUUGUAAUCAAUAAUCAAUUGAUUACACAACUAAUUCAAACGCUCAAUAUUUGUCAAUGGCAUAACUCUUCCCUUUCUUAUACAGUGCAAAUUUAAUGAAAUAAAUUUUAGGGAAAUUAUCAGCCAUAUACCUUUAAAUGACACCCGCAUCAAACGUGUGUGAACACUUUUCAAGUGUAUUACUCGUAUAUCCUAAGUUGACAAAAUACUUCUGACAUCCAACAAUCUGUUAACUUUCGUUAGAAAGUUAACAGAAUUGUGACAAAUUGACUAUUUUGCCUUUGAAACUCAAAAUAAGGUAAAAAGAUAAAUUUACUUCAAAAGUUAACGUAAAUUUUCAAUACACAAUUUUUUUUAUUUUGUUAUUAACAAUACAUUUUUUUGAUUAAAAAAUGAAUUAUUAAUGGUAUAUAUUAUUAACAAUUAUUCAUAAAAAAAAUCCAUAUUAUACCAUAAUAAAUUAUUAACAACAUAUUAUUUACACUUAUACAUAUUAUACCAUAAAAAUUUCCAAUUGGAGCUUGGAGGAGUGGAUUUUCAAAAAUUUAGGUUAAAUUUUGGAGGAGUAGAUUCGGUUGUAAAGUAGUUUUUUUUAGCAAUUAUUAAAAAUUAUCCGAUAAAUGGGAUGACAUGUCAUUGUUAUCAAUAUAUAUCAUAUGAUAUGUCAUUUUUUACUAGGUAAAUGGGAUGACAUGUCGUUUUUUAAUCAAAGUUUUGUCAAUCUUAAAAGACUAAAUUACCCUUAUGAUGUCAACACUUGCAAAAAGAAGUUAACGGAUUGGUGGACGGAAGAAGUGUUUUAUCAACUUAGGGUACACGAGUGAUACACUUAAAAAGUGUUCACACAUGUUUGAUACAGGUGUCAUUUAAGAGUAUAUGACUGAUAAUUUUCUUAAAUUUUAUUGCUUGAAUCUAAAAUAUCUUGACUAGAACUUAUUGGUUUAUUGGAUUCCAAUGAGCUUUACUGGUGAGAUAGUUUUGACCAAAUCCAAGUAUCCAACAACUUGAUUGGAUUUGUUUUCGACCAAAGGAGUUGAAGAAAAUUUAAAAAAAAAAUUAAAAGUAUGAAACAAAUUUUCUCUUAUGUCUACAUUGAACAGAUUUAGACAUGAUUAAAAGAUGAGAGCAUGAAGUAUAUACAUACUAUUAUGUCUUUAAUAGUAAUUUACGUUAGAGAUAAUUUAGUAGUAAAAAUGUUUUCUAAAAAGUGGUUCAAAUGAGUAUUAUGGUGGAUUCAAAUAGUCCCACCAUUUUUCAAAAGAUUAGGUUAUUUAUACUCCAAAAAUUACUUUGAACACUUUAUUACUCUGUACAAUCAUGUGCUGGAUUUAAAAUAAUUAAAUUUUACUUUCUACACUCUUUAAAAUACAAAAAAAAGACCUUAGUUAAACUAGUUAAACUAAUUUACUCAAAACACCAAUUAAACUAUUGAGCAUCCAAAAUGAAUUAAUAACAACUUAGUAUAUACACAAAGGAAUCAAAUUAUAUUCUAAACAUAUUCUUUGUUAGCUUUUGUCUAUUAAAGAAUGUAUUCAAUAUUAGUUUUUGCACCCAAUUUUUUAACCAAACAAUUGAAAAAAAUUUUGCCAUCUAGCCCCCCAAAAAAAAAAAAGAAAAAGAAAGAAAAAAGGAAAAAAAGAGGAAGAAGAAAUAGACGAAGAAAAAGAAGACUAAAAGAAGGAUGAGGAAGAGGAAGAAGACUGCAAUUUUUUUUUUCUUCUGAAAAUCAAAGAGUAAAAAUAUGCUCAAAAUAUAUUAAAAGUAUUGAUUUGCUCUUUGUUUAACUAAAUAUUGUUUAAGUUAUUGGAUUUAAAUUUUUUCGGGUUUAUGGCAAGAUAAUCAUAUAUUGAAUAGCGAGUGUUUGGAGUAAUUUUAUUAUGUUAGUUUAUAAGAGAGAUUCCAUAUUAGUAAUUCAUAUAAUAGGUGUUUUUGUAAUAAAAUAAUUUAUUAAAAUAAGAAUAUUCAUAGUAAUGUUAAGAGUGCAAAUAGCCCCACCUUUUUUAUAAAAUAAGUAAAUGAGUAUACAUAAAUAAUAGUAUAUUUUGAGUAUUUUUUCAAGCGCAAAUAGGCCCACCAUGCAUAAUUUAUUUAGAUGAGUUUUAUUUUAUUUAUUUUUUGUUAACUUCAGUUAUCUCUAAAUUAUCGUAAACCUUAAUUUACCCUAAUGAUCAUUCAAAAAAUACGAUCAAAUGGGAACAAUAGAUGAUUUCUUUUUUCUUUUUUUACCUUCUUAAUAGUAAUUGUGGAUUGAUUAAUGUUUAUUAUAGUUUGAGGAUAUUUUGAGAAUAAUUAAUGUAUUAGGGGUAAACAAUUUUUUUUUUUUCAAAUAAUUAACCGAACUUACAUUCUCUAGUUCUAUAGAAGACAGUCAAUGAGUGACAAGUCCACAAAGAUCACCACAUGCAUGAUUGAUAUUGACACGUGUACCAUUAGCUGGAGACAAUAUAAUGGUACAGGAAGAUUCGAAACAAAGAAAAGCCAUUAAACAUAUGCAAACGAAAAUAUGUUUUUAAUUCACUUUCAACUAAUCUACCACGUAGGCAAGUCUCAUUUCUUUGAACACUUCAAAAAUCUCUGUGUGUGAAAUGGAAUUGCCCCUGAAAUCCAUAGACCUGACCAUUGUUAUCGUAACAGUGGGAACUGGGCAUGGAGAGUGCUGAACUGGGUGUGGCUGAGGGGCCCAAGAAGCUGGAGAAAUUCCUGAGACAGCAAAGGUUUCAAAGGCAAUUCUUGCAGGCUUCUGUUUGGUGACUUGAAAGAAAGUUUAGACGAUAAUAUCUCGACUGGAUUGUGCCAUUAUUAAUCAAACUAAUUCAGUUUGCACAAUUGUAGAGCUGAUAUAAGUAGAAGAAAUCCAAAUAGACUUCUCGUUAUAAAUGUAGUUAGUAGAGAUCAUACACAUCAAGAUAAUUCUUGAAUAUUUUUAUGGGUUAAAACGUAAUUUUAUUUUUAUUAAUGAAGAAAAUAUGUAUGGUGUUGAAACAUUUAAGCUAUGUUGUUUGCGAGACCAAUAAUUUUCUUGAUAUCAUGGGCUAAUGGGUGUAACUCAAGCUGUGGUAAGUUAUGCCACGAGCAAAAUAACCAGAGCUUAAAAAUUGAUGCAGGCAAUAAUUCAUUUAUGUGGUUCGGUCCGACACGAAGGUUGAAUAUUGUGAAGCCCGAUCAAAUCAAAGAGAUAUCUACCAAGAUCAAUGAUUUUCAAAAAAUCAAUUCAGAUCCACUUGCCAGAUUAUUGGCACUUGCAUUGGUUAGCCAUGAGGUGACAAGUGGGUUAAUAUAGAAAUCUUAUCAACUAGGUCCACCAAGAGAAGCUCUAGGUUAUUAAUUGAUUUCUUCAUUUGUUUACAUAAAUGUCUUCAUUUUAAUUUCUUUCUGUUUCGUUUCAACUUAUGUUGCCUGCGUUCUACCAAAGUUGUAGUGAAAUAAUUACAAAGUGGGAGAACCUGACGUCUAAAGGAGGAUCAUGUGAGUUGGGUGUACGGCCUUCUCUUGCAAAAUUAACUAGUGAUGUGCUUCCUAGGACGGCUUCUGGGAGCAAUUAGCAAUGUAGGAGUUGAUUUUCUUCAAAUAUUAUGGAAGUAGGUUUGGACCAUCCUGGGCUUAUUACUUCGAUCCAUGUCAUCAUAUAUUUAAUCUAAGAUGUUAAUCAUAUUGUUGAAAUCGAUAAGUAGGACUUGAUUAGUGCAUUCAAUACGUUCUUGUAUUUUCUAUUGUUCUUAUUUCUUAUGGGCAGGCAUGUACCUUCAGAGAGAAAUAAGAGAAUGAAGGAAAUUGACAAGCAAAUACGAGCUUCACUGAUGGGAAUCACAAAAAACAGAUAGAAGGCAAUGAAAGCAGAGGAAGCUGGAAAUGAUGACUUGGCAUACUGAUGGAGACCAAUUUUAGAGAAAUUGAAGAACUUGGAAACAACAAAAAUGUUGGAAUAAGCUUUAACGAUGUGAUCGAAAAGUGCAAGCUAUUUUACUUUGCUGGCCAAGAGACUACCUCUGUUUUGCUUAAUUGGACAAUGUUGCUAUUGAGCAAGCAUCAAGAUUGACAAGUGUUGAGUGUUAGAAAAUGUAUAUUAAUAAAGGAGAAAAUCGUCAUUUUACACUUCAAGUCUCACUAACAUCCUUACUUUUCUAUAAUUAAGUCCCUUGUGAUUUAAUUAUGUGUGUUUUAUUUUAAUGAAGUAUUUUAUGUAUUUUAGGGGCAGCAUGGUCAUUUCACAAUUAACGAAAGAUUAGAGAGCAAAACAUAUAGCAAUUUUGGAGUCAGGACAGUCAAAAGCCUUAGGAGGAGCAUACAAGGAUAAAUAUUACUGUUCAUAUGUACGGUACUAUACAUGAUACUAUUCACGACGUUGUUCACAUAUACGGUAUGAUGACAUGUCAUUGACCGAUGACGUGGCAUUGACCAAUGAUGUGGCACAGACCGAUGAUGUGACAGUAUCGAUUGGACGAGUGAUGUGGCAUUAACUGCUUAUGUGGCGGUGACUGAUGAAUUGGCGUUGACCGAUGAUAUGUCACGAUCCUAUUGGCUAAAAUAUUGAUGUGGUGUUGACCGGUGACGUGGUAGUAUGUUAGUGGAGAAAAAAACGUGCAUACGGUACAUGCAUAUACACAGAAUAACAGCCCUGAUGAGGUGUUCUAUCCAAUCAGAACUUGCCACGUGGCGCAAUCCUUAGCAUCUAAAUUUUUUUAAUUUGAUGGCCAUAAUUUACUCAUUGUAUCUAUAAAAUGGGAGUUCUCCCCCCUAAUUCUAGACCCUUGAAUUCAUUUUUGAGCUCCAUUUUCUGUAAUUCAUUAUUUAUCUUGUAUUUUAUAUAUAUUUUAAUAAAUUUCAUUUUACCCCUAAUUUAAUUAUGAGUAACUAAUUUUCUUUCAAGCUUGGGUUGAAGGUGAAGUCUCAAUAUGUUCCCUGGUUUUUUUUUUGGUAAAUUUAAUUUUUCUUUUUGACUUUUUGUCGACAGAUAGUAAUAAUCUUGUCUAGAUACCGCACUGGUAUAACUGGCUCCCAAGUGUAGUGUUAUUACUAUUUGGCACGAUAAGUCAUUAACACCAUAUUAAUUAGAGUGUGGUUUAUAAGGAGUGGAAACCCCCCUCAUGAUUUAAUUGGCACUAAUAAAGAAUAUUAAGCCCAUAGUGCAUGUUGAUGCAGAUCCAGAUACCCAAGCAUUUCAUUUUAACAGAUUUUACUUCAAUUUAUUCUCUCCAUUUUAAUUUGAAAUAAUCUAAAUCACUUCUACCACAAAUCCAAUCACCCACUUAGAAAAUUAACUCUAUACACAAUUAAAAUCCACCUUCUCGUGGGAUCGACGCUCAUCACCAUUGAUAUAUUCUACAAUAGAUUCGUGCACUUGCGAGUUCAAUAAAAUUUACAUAACAACAAUAACGUGCAAGAAAAGAGGUUUUGCAAGUUUUUGGCAAUAAUAAGAGUGAUUAUGAUGGAUUGAAUCACCUCAAAAUUGUAAGUACAAAUGAAAUUGAGUUGAAAUAUGCUUUACUAUAGUUGAUAAAUUUUGGUCGUAUUAAUUUGCGUUUUGUGUGCAUAUCUUACACGUUCAAAUGAUAUUCUACAAGGUACCCACGCUUUAUCCCCCAGUAGUUAUACAGGCCGAGCAAUCAGAAUUUUAGGAUGAAAAACAAUGAAAUUUGGAUGAAAACAACAAACAUUUAAGGUGGGCGAUAGCACUGUCCUUAAGAUGCCUCAAGAUGCAAUAUCUCGGUGCAAGAAGGGCUAACAAAAGUAGUUUGAUCUCCACUAUACAAUUUCUACUAUUGUGAUGUUGCACUUGAACAUGAUAAUCUAGAACAACAAAAUGUAUAAUGACGAAAGAAAGGAAAACAUAGAGCAAGAGAGUAAGUUUUCGGAUGACCAUAGUGUGAUCUAUUUGGCUCUUUAAAUAGAUACAAGCCCUAACCCAUUUUUCCUCUCUAAAUUGGAAUUAUAAUUAUAUUUAUUAAAUCCUAAUUCGAUUAGGAAUUGAAUUCUCAAUCUAAUUCGAAUUAAAAUAAAUAAAAUUAAAACAAAGGACAAAAACAUAAUAGAUGGCCAAGCCCUCACAUAUACAUGAAACCCCAUGGGGGGGAGAGGGUCCCCCUUGCGAGUGAGUUAUUGGGUAUGAGCGACCAAUUAAUAGAGUCAUGGAAUGAGCUCUUCUCAUGGGCUUGGUUUCAUGCAAAUGGGCCUCCUCUUCAUAGGCAUGUUACUGCACUUUAUUUGGUUUCUAUAUAAAAAUCAACUUAUACUCUCUUAUUUAAGUAAUGUGGGAUAUUGGUAUUUUAAAAUACCAACUCAAUCUUUAACAAUCCUCCACAUAUUUCAAAAUACUCAAUUUCUUUCGACUUCAUCAUAGUCCAUAGAGUUUAAUGCAUAUGAACUGGUGCCUUUUGGCCAAUGAACUAGCCAUUGAAUACCUAACCAUGUCUCAUAGGAACUUGGUGAAACUGAUAAUUUCUAUAAACCAAUAUUCUCUUUUUUUUUGUAAGACAGAGGACUAGAAGCUCAUAUUAAACUCUCUCAAUGUUUUGUUGUUUUGCGAUUUGGCACUUUAGUAGCCAUGUGCCCUUGUUUUCAUGAGCACUCUAGAGAAGCAUGUUUAACUCUCAUAGGAACUUACCCAAUUCUACACUAACAUAGGUGAACCUCCAUCAAGUAUGUCAUGCAGUUUUGACACACCAUCAUAUAUAAAAAGUGAGUUAUGAAGUUUAUUAAAAGCUCAAUUGCUUAACCUAAAUCACUGCGAUAAACAUUAUCUUGUUCUAGGGAGGAUUUACAAAUAAAGAAAAUAUUUAUAGAAUAAAAAUAAGAUUACAUAAUAUUGAUAAUAAAUAUAAGAUUACAUAAUAUUGAUAGUGUUACAAAACAACAAGUAACUUAUUAAACGUUCUUCAUGGGAUCUCCAAUCACACAGGUAGAGUUACCAUCACUCUUGUCUUUUGAUCUAGACAGUAGUCCCAUCUCCCUUGAUGUGAUCUCUACUUAACUCUUGUUUAGUGUUUUUGGUAGAGGAUUGGUCAAAUUCAACUUUGUCCUUACAAAAUUUAGGCUCAUAAUAUUUGAUUCCAAUAGCUACUUAACGAUACGAUGUCUCAUAAUGUGUAUACUCUUCUUAUUAUAUAUGUCACUUAUAGCUCUUACAGUAGCAACUUGACAAUCACAAUGGAUUGGCGUAGUAGUAGGAUGGUGAGCAAACAUGGGAAGAUUUUCCAAAAGGUUUCGCAACCACUCAGCCUCAAAACAUAUUUUCUCUAAAGCAAUUAGCUUGAAUUCCAUGGUAGAGCAAGCUAUACAUGUUUGCUUGGAUGAUUUCUAAGAUACUGCACCUUUAUCAAGCAUGAAAAUAUAACCUAGUGGAUUUGAGCUUAUUUGAUCAGAGAUCCAAUUUGCAUCACUAUACACUUCAAGUACUUAUGGAGAUCUACCAUAUUUAAGCCUAUAAUCAAUGGUUCCUCUUAAAUAUCUAGCAAUUCUAGCUACUGUAGUCAAGUGAUAGUCGUCAGGUUUUCUACAAUUCAUCAAGUACAUUAGGUUACCAAUUAUUUGGGCAUACAUCACUUGAUCAACACUAUGUUAGGUAUUCUUCUUUAUGUGGGUAUUAUUAUCAUACGUGGAAGGGACAUUGUUUUGCAAUCAUAAUACUUAAAUCUUGUUAACAGUUUUUCAACAUAAUGUUCUUGCAAUAACAUGAGACCAUCACAAACUUUUAUAAUUUUGAUGCUUAAAAUAACAUUUUCCUCUAUCAUAUCUUUCAUAUCAAAAUUAGAUUCAAGCAUCUCCUUAAUCUCAUUAAUAGUUCCAACAUUAGAACUUAAAAUAAGCAUGUCAUCAAUAUAGAGACAUAUGAUGAGAAAAACAUAAGUGUUUAUAGAUUUAGAACAUAUACUUUUGUCUAAAUCAUUAAUCGUAUAUCCAUUGGACAAUAAUACUUGAUCAAAUGUCUCAUGCCAUUGUUUCGGUACUUGUUUUAAGCCAUAUAGAGGCAUAACCAACUUGCACACUUUAUGCUAGAACCUAACAACCUUCAGGUUGAUCUAGAUAGAAACUCCUCAUCUAAGUUUGCAUUGAGAAAGACAAUUUUAACAUUUAUUUGACGCACAUGUAGAAUAUGAAUUGAUGUAAGAGCAAUCAAAACUCUAAUAGAUGCAAUCCGAGUUACAGGAGCAUAUGUGUCAAAAUAAUCUAUAUCUUUCUUCUAUAUGAAUCCCUUGGCCAUCAAUCUUGCUUUAUAUUUAUCAAUAUAUCCAUCAACUUUUAAUUUCUUUUUGAAAAUUCACUUGCACCCAAUAGGUUUUAUACCUAGAGGUAUGUCAACUAAUUCUCAUACACGAUUGCUCAUUAUAGAAUUUAGUUCAUUGUUGAUAGCUUCUUUCCACUAUAGUGCAUCUCGAGAAAUCAUAGUUUUUGUGAAAGUCUGAGGAUCAUUUUCCGCAAGAAAGAUAUAGAAAUCAUCCUGAUGCAUUUUCUUAGUUCCACAUUUGAACUUUCAGAAGAAUUAAUUGUUGAUUCAGUAUAGGAUAGUUGUUUCUCCAUGCUAGUUUUUUAAGAAAAAUAGAUUCAAAGAACUUAGCAUUCUUGGAUUCAAUGAUGGUAUUAGCCUCAAAUGAGAUACCUUAAUCUUGUAACACCAAGAACCUAUAGGCAACACUCUUGUGGGCAUACUCUAUAAACAUACAGUUGAUAGUUUUUUGUCCUAAUCUUAUUCUUUUGGGAUCCAUUUUAAGAACUUCGGCUAGACACCCCCAUAUUUUAAGGUGUGAUAAGUUAUGCUUAUAGCCUUUUCAUAAUUCAUAGGGUGUCUUACCUAUUUCCUUAUAAGGUAUUUUGUUUUGAAUAUGACAAGCAGAUAACAUAACUUCCUCCCACAAAUUCAGCAGUGCCCCAUAACUUAUUAUCAUGGCAUUUACCAUGUUUUUCAAAGUUUUGUUUUACCUUUUAGCUAUACCAUUAUAUUCAAGUGAAUAGGGAGGUAUCACUUCAUGGAUGAUACAAUGAUUCUCACAAUAAACAUUUAACAUGCUUGAAUCAUAUUCACCUCCUUUAUUAGUUCUUGAUCUUUUAAUUGUCUUAUUAAAUUGAUCUUCAACUUCACUUUUAUAGACUAAGAAAUUUUCACCUGCUUUAUUUUUAUUUCUUAAUAGAUAUAAUUUUGUAUAUCUCAAAAACUCAUCAAUAAAAGUAAUAUAAUACAUUUUGUCUCUUCUGAUCAUAGAUUGUUUCAAAUCAUCAAGGUCACUGUGAAUUAAAUUGAGAAGUUCGGUUUCUCUAUAUUGAACUUAUCUACAUGUCUUCUUAGUGGAUUUGGCUUCAACACACACCUUGCAUUUGUCAUUAGAUAAGCUCAAAUUAGACUGUAAACCAAGUUCUCUCAUUUUAUUAAUAUAAGAAAAAUUCAUAUGACUAAGUCUCCUAUGCCAAAAUCAAUAAAGUCAACUACACAAGCAGAAGAAGAAGCCUUUUCAUUUAUUAUAAUAUUGGAUACAUAAAGUUUCAAGAGUUCUCUAGAACAAUACCCUUUUUGUCAUUACAAUUUUAUCACCCUCAAAGGAGACUUUGAACCUAGUUUUGCCCGCAUAAAAACAAAUAAUAGAUUGUAUCUAAUCUCAGGAACAUGGAGUACAUUACUCAAUGAGAGGUUUUUCCAAGAUGUAAGCUUGAGAAGAAUUUUACCUUUGCUUGGGAUUGAAGUAGAUCGAGAAUCACCAACUUAAAUAACUUGCUCUCCCUCCCGCACUAGAUUUAGUCAAAGAAAGAGUGUUUAUUGUUAUAUAUAUGUCUAGUAGCUCCAGAAACAAUCACCCAAUCUUUUCUUCUAUUUACCAUGUUCACAUCAGAGACAACUACAGCAGCAAUGAUGUCAUCUCCUUUUCCUUCAAUCAUAGGCUUUAGGAGGUUUUUUGCUAUCUUCAUUUCUCAUAGCUUUAUGCUUGCAUUGAUUAGCAUAAUACCUACUUUUUCGACAAACAAAACAAUGACCUUUCUUCUUAGCAAUGAGCCUUUUGGAGUUAUUAAGGUGUUUAUUAUUAAGAUUGUUCUGCUUUUUAUUAGGUUGAGGAGUGUUCUCUAUUAGAUUUGGAUUGGAAUAAAAUUCCUUUACUUUAUCGAAUGCAUCUCUAAUUAUGUUCUUCUCUUCAAUCUUAAUAUAUAUAAUAGCAUUUUCAAGACUCACUUGCUUCUUCUUAUGCUUUGAGGUUUUAAUAUUGUUGAGUUCUAACAUUUUUAACCAUUUUUUUCUUAAGUAGUGCCCAUAUCUCAAACGCAUUCUUAUAUUAAUAGUAAACAUCGAAGGUAGAACUAGCAAGAGUGUUCAAUAUUGUGUACUUGUAGACCUUGUUACAAAUAUUCUAAUUCUGGAGUUUCUUGUCAUUAUCUUCAGUGCCCUCUUUUAGUGGUGAUGACUGUAGAUAGUCAGUCAGGUCAUGAACAUCUAAUACAUCAAAGAGCUUUACUUGCCAGUGCUUAAAAUUUUUGCCAUUGAACAAUUCAAUCUUGGAGGUAUUUGGCAAGUUUUUUUUUCCUAGUGAUUAUAGUGGAAGCAACUGCUAGAAGAUCGGCAGUGGGAACAAUAAGUCCAGAGGCUGAGGGAGCAUCAUGUCCAACAACUAAUGAAGACAAAUUUUGUGGUUGAAUAUCACUCAUAUUUGAUCUUAAGAUUGUUGGAAUUUUAGGACAAAAAAAUUGUGAAAUGUGGAUGAAAAAUAGCAAAGAGUAAAGGCGUACGAUAACAUUUUCCUUAAGAUCAAAAUGUGCAUCUCAACAUGCAAUAUCUCAGUGCAAGAGGAAGUGAUGAAAGUGAUUUAAUCUCGAUGUUGCACUUCAACAUGAUAGUCUAGAACAACAAAACAUACAACAACGAAGAAAAGGAAAACAAAGGACAAGAGAACAAGUUUUUGGAUGACCAUAGUGUGCUAUAUUUAGCUCUUUGAAUAAAUGCAAGCCCUAGCCCCUUCUUCUGCAUUAAAUCUGAAUUUUACAUAUAAAAGGAUUUGAUUGAACCAUAAUUUGAUUAGAAAUCAAAUUCUCAAUCUAAUUCGAAUUAAAAUAAAUAAAAUAAAAAGGGCAAAAAUUAAAAGAUGGCUAAGCUGGUGCACAUGCACGAUAGCUCCGUGGGGGAGGUGGGGCCCCCUGCACAUGAGUUAUUGGGCAUUCUCUUUAUGACCUUGUUACCACACUAUAUUUGGUUUCUAUAUAUAAACCAACUUAUACUCUCUUGUCUAAGUAAUGUGAGAUAUUGAUAUUUGAAAAUACCACACUAUAUAAGUGAUGUGAGAUAUUGAUGCCCAAACUUUAUCCCUCAGCAGCUAUACUAGUCGAGCUAUUCGAAAAGAAAUGAAGCUUGGAAGCUUGACAUUAAAAAUUUUGAAGCUGUUAUAAUACUAUACUUACAGUUAAAAAUGUACUAGCACUACCUUAAAUCAAAUUUAUUAUGACACUGCUCGAAUUCUUUCCUCACUAAUUAGAGAAAUAUUUACUUUAUCAACAACAAUAAAGGAGAUAUUUCUACUCAUUUUUAAUUGGAAGAGGAAUAAUCGAGUCCUUAACGUGAGAACUUAAACCCAUGCCCUUACUAAAGUGAGAGUAUAAAAAUUCACCAUUUGACUAAAAAUUUCAAGUUAAAUUAUGGACAAAUCCAGCAUGGGACCAAUUUGGACACAUGCCCCAGCUAGUUUUUGAAUUUUUUUUAAUUAUUUUAAAAAUGUAUUUUAUUUUAUUAUUUAAGUGAUCUAGCAAAAAUAAAAAAUUAUGAAAGUGUCCCAAACAAUUUUAAAGAUUUUAUGUUGCUCCUAGUUUAAAUAUCUAAUUUUAAAUAAUUUAAUUAACUAUUUAAACAUUAUGAAAGUUAAAUCAAGACAAAAGACUGUAGAUAAAACAAAAGAGAUUCAUUUUACACUUUUUACAUUUCUCGUCCUUUUUUUAGUGCUUUGAAUGAAAGGUACUUUAUUUAUUUAUUUGUUAUAGUGGUAGUAGAAUAGUUGAUCAGAGCAAUGCGUAUGCAGCCAUACGUGGAUUUCAUUGUAGUUCCCAUAAAUGAAAGGCACUUUCCUACAAUUAUUUAGUUUUUUAAUAUUGAUCCCUAAAUUCUAACUCUAGUCAAUUCUAAUUUUCAAUUAUUCCAAUUGACCUUUUAUCUAGAAAAUCCCUAGUUUUAUCAUGUAUUCAUGUUAACUCUUUGCGUCACAUUAUAUGAACAUAUUUACUAUCAUAAAAAGAUUUUAGAGAAUAAUUUAAUUUAGAGAAUAAAUUAAGUGAUAACUUAAUUGUAUGCAUUGAAAAAUAUGCUUUUGAUUAUAUUAAUAAUGAAGUUGUUUCACGUUAUUUUCAACAUAUUACAUCCCAUCGAAAAGCCUUCAACAAGGGCAAUUGUAAUGAGUAAAUUUAUUAUUAAUGAAUAUUAGUAUUGUCAUGUUAUAUAUUACUAUAUAAAAUUUUAAAUUAUAUUAUAUUUUAAAUAAAGUACUAAUUAAGAGUGUGCAGUCACACAUAGGGAUGGUAAUUAUCAGACCCGGACGAAUCCGGAUAAUCCGGGCCGGAUUCAACCCAUAUAAGAAAAAUUUAAAUCCAAUAUCCGGAUGUAUUCGGGUCCAGUUCUGAGUUUGUGUGAACUCGUAAAUCCGGAUCCCAAUGCUGAAUAUCUUUAUUUUAAUAUUAAUUUUUUUAAUAUAAAUAGAAACAUCAAAGAAAAAGAAUUUAACUGUGCCCUAGUUUCACUCUCAAAUAGAGGUGGCAAAAAUACCCGCCCGGUCCGGACCCGGACCGUACCCGGGCAUUGCGGGCCGGGUAUUACCCGGCUCGGGUAUGAAGCCGGGUCGGUCUUGGGCAUCACUUGAUAAACCCAGAAUCCGGAUUUUAUUAAAAAAAUUAUAAAAUAUAUAUUAUUUUAAAUAUUUUAUAUUUAUUUGACUUAUUUAUUAUACAUAUAUAAAGUUUUAAACACUUAAAGUUUAUAUUUUCAUGUCAAAUUUUAUUGAAAUAAAUUUAAAACUUAUAAAAUUACUAAAAAAUAAAAAAUAUAUACACAUAAAAUAUUAAAAAAUAUAAAAUUCGAGUACCCGGAUUAAAACCCGGCCCGGACCCGAACCCGGACUGGUUGCAUCCGAGCAGGGUCCGGUCAUGGCAAUACCCGGACCCGGCCCGGGGUUUUGCCAUCUCUACUCUCAAAGUCGCGGCCGCCAAAGCCUUAAAGCCAAAAAUUUCCUCAUCAAAUCACCAUGAAUCGUGCUGUGUUCCUCAUCUUUACCGCCAAAAGCCCAACUCAAAUCAACAUGCUUAACCACCUCCGCGGCCGAUGACUGUGAUACGGGUUGAAAACGGCACCAUCAUCAUCAGCGGCUUGAGGGCGAUUGCGGCUGUGAUGCAGUAUAUAACCAUUAUCCCGAUAUCGGUAUCUUCAGCAAGGCCAUGGGUGUCUCAUGAACAGUUUCAACAAUGAUAUUUUCGAGAAGUUGGCCCAAGAACGUGAUUUCAUUCUCUUUGGGUUCUGGUUAUUGAAAUGGGUAGUGGAUUGUGAUUUGAUGGGAGUGUCAUACAAGGCAAUUGCAAAACAAGUAAAGGCUAAAAAUGGGAUUUUGAAAGUGUUUUUUUUUUUUUCUUUUCCCUUACACGACUGUGGCUUUGAGAAGCUUUGGUUGAGUGAUCCAACGCUCAUCGUCAUUCCUUACAGUGAGUAAAGUUUGUUAAAGUUUUUUUCAAAGCAAAUAAGAGAUUUUAAGUUAAAAAAUAUCCGGGUUUAAAACCUGGAUGUUUCUGGAUUGAAACCGCACCGGACCCAAACUUAAACUAUACGGUUACUAUCCGGACCUGGGAAGAUGAAUUGACAUUCGGGUCUACAACCGGAAAGACCAAACCCGGACCCGGACCUAAAAUUUGCCAUCCUGACUCACACACCUUAUGGAGUACGAUUGCGUACGUAACAAACACCCAUUUGACAGUUGUAAGACCCACAACAAUACUCGUCAAAUGAGAACUUAUCACACAAACAGUUGUAUCCCUGAUCAUAUUCGAUUUUGAAUGUACCCCAACUCGGUUUCGAUCCUGGCUAUUUUCCUGUUAAACUUUUUCAUCUACCUACAAUUGAACGAUGGUUAACCAAAGCACGGUUUAAUAUUAAAUUCAUAAAUUUUAAGAGUACAGAUGUCAUUACUAGAAAUUCUUAUUUACAUAUCCACACGCAUAAUUUUAUUUUUGAUGAAAUUUUAGUGUGUUUUUAGAAAAUAUAAUUAACCGAACCAUACACUCUAUGGUUCUAGAACAAAAUCUUGAGUUGUGUAAAAUAAUAGACCCGUGUUCUCUUUUAACACUACUUGUUGGAGACAGUAUCUGGUCCAUCAAACGAAUGCAGACAAAAAUGAUUUUAUCCGUCAUUUAAACCAAUCUUCCAACCUCAAAGAUACAUACUCUCCCAUUUCUCACAACACUUAAAAAAUUUCUGAGUGUGAAAUGGAAUUGACUCUGAAAUCCGUAGCGUUCACCAUUGUUAUUGUAACAUUGGUAACAUGGGCAUGGAUGGUGCUGAACUGGUUGUGGCUGAGGCCCAAGAAGCUGGAGAAAUUCCUGAGACAGCAAGGUUUAAAAGGCAAUUCUUACAGGCUUCUGUUUGGUGACUUGAAAGAAAGUACCAUCAUGUUGAAGAAAGCAAAAGCCAGACCUCUCAGUUUGGAUGAUGACGCUGCAGUUCGUGUUACUCCAUUCCUUCACAAACUGUUCAAGGAUUAUGGUAUGUAUGUCAGCGGCCUCAUAUUCUCUUUUACUUGUUUCCAAUUUCAGUAGGUAACAGCCUAUCCACUCAUUGGUUGAACGGUGUCAUUAUUUACAAAGUUAAUUUAGAAGGUUCGUUAGAGUUAUAAUUAUAAACUAAAAAUUGGAUUUUGAUUAUAAAUAUCAGUGAAAAGUAUAACAUGAAAAGUUGGUUCUUGAAAAUUUUUAUGGGUUAAAACAUAAUUUUAAUCUCCUUCGAACAAAGAAAAACCUAAUUAUAGGUCUGGGAUAUCGACGUUGCAGCUUUCCUUGGGCUUUAUCCGUUAUUCUUUGUUUAUUAUGAAGAAACUUUAUAUAUUGUGAUAAACGUUAUAUAUCGUGAUAAACUGAUAAACGUUUUUAAACAUUAAUGCUAUGGGAGAAACGUCGGUGAGGUAGUGUGGACUACAAGUGGAUCCCGAUGAUGCUCAGCCAUUUCUUUGUGGGACUACAAGUGGAUCCCGAUGAGGUACCCACUCCUCUGCCAAAUCACAAAACAUGUGUGGCGCUUGAGGUGGUAGGCCACCCCUCGGAAUUUUGUCUCUAAAAGCUACAUGUAUCUAGAGAUUGGGAACUAUCUAGUUUAGCUCGGCUCUGGGUGAAAACCGAACUAAACUAAAAUAAAUUGAUUUAUCAUUUUGUGGAUUAUAAAUCAAUUUGUGGAUUGAAUACGAAUCAAAUGCUAGAAUUGAACUGAAUCGAAUUAAUUUAGUUCGGUUCGAUUUUGUGAUUGGGUUUAGUUUUGAUUUUAUUUAGUCCAAGCAAUUUUACUUGUAUAUUUUUUUUAAUACAAACUUUGCUUGUAUAAUUAUUCAAUAAAAAACAACAUAAUAAUAUAAUAUUACUAUAACAACAAUUUUAAGUCCAUAAAUCCACGAAUAAUAAACUAUGUAAUAGAAUUCAACACAAAUAAAUCAACAUAAUAAAGUCACAACACGAAAUAUACAUAAUUUAGAAAUUCACUACAAAUUACAAAUCCACAACAAUAAAUAAAACAAGAAAGCAACAAUACAAAAUCAUAUAUAGGAGAAAUUUCAAAGUUCCACGUCAAUUUAAAUUUGUGAGUUUUAAUUUUUCUCUCUAAAGCAUUUGGGUUUUCAGUUUAGUUCGAAUUAAACAAACACAAAUUGGUUUGGAGAUUUAUGAAUCAUUUGAUUUUUUACUGCCCCCAACCGAAUGUCUACCCCUAUGAGAGACCAAUAAUUUUCUUGAUAAGAUGGGAUAGUUGCUCUAACUCAACCUGUUGAUGAGCUAUGCCACGUGUAAAAUUCCCAGAGGGAAAAUUGGUCUGUGGAUGGUGUUACUCCCCGUACAGUGCACAAUAGCGUUGUGUAGUUUCAACAUCAUUUGCAAAAUCUUGUGAAAUCACACCAUGAAUGUAACUUCUUACCUUGUAUUAGGCUUAGUUAUUUGGAAUAGAAGUUUAAUGAUUGAAGUAAAAUCAAUUGGCAUUUAUUCUUGACUAAGUUUUGAAUAAAAUCACUAAACUUUUACUGCUUAAAAUGUGGCCAUGCGCAAUGGAGCAUCUGCCUUCUAACUUUUGCAUAUAUAAUGUUAAAAACACUAAUGCAGGUAAGAAUUCUUUCAUGUGGUUUGGUCCGACACCAAGGGUGAAUAUAACGAAUCCUGAUCAAUUAAAAGAGAUAUUUUCCAAGAUCAAUGAUUUUCCAAAAAUCAAUUCAAACCCACUUGCCAGGAUACUGGCAGCUGGCUUGGUUACUUAUGAGGGUGAGCAGUGGGCUAAACACAGAAAAAUUAUCAACCCAGCAUUCCACCAAGAGAAGCUCAAGGUUAUUAAUUUCUUUAUCUGUUUACAUAAAUCUCAUUGGAAAAUUCCAUAUUCCCUUCAUUUUUCAUUUUGAUUUCUUGCUCUCAUUACAGCUUAUGUUGCCAGCAUUCUGCCAAAGUAGUAGUGACAUAAUUACAGAGUGGGAGAAGCUAAUGUCUACCGAAGGAUCAUGUGAGUUGGAUGUAUGGCCUUAUCUUGCAAAUUUGACAGGGGAUGUGAUUUCUCGAACUGCUUUUGGGAGUAUUUAUGAAGAAGGAAGACGGAUUUUCCAGCUCCAAUCAGAGCUAGCUGAACUCACAAUACAAGUUAUUCGUUCAGUCUAUAUUCCAGGAUGGAGGUACAUGUACAUUUCCUUGUUAGAUCAUAAAUGCUUAGUUAUAUUUCCGCUUUGAUUAACAUGGUGGGAGUUAAUUUUUUUUUUUUUUGGGGGGGGGGGGGGGGGCAAUUACUGAGAAUAAGAUCCACGCAACUCAUUUUGGUUUAGAUAACUCAGAUUGUGCCAUUAUAGUGUUAAUCUAAAAUGGUUCGGUGGAUUUCUGACGUUAAAUAUUAGUAGAUUAUAAUUCAAAAUAAAUAAAUAAAUAAAGACUAGGGGUUGAUUAAGUCAUUUAGUUAUUAUCUCUCUCAUAACUGUUUCUAUGCUUAUUUGUAGGUUUUUGCCUACUAACAGAAAUAAGAGAAUGAAAGAACUUGACAAGGAAAUAAGUACUGCACUCAUGGGAAUCAUAAAAAACAGAGAGAAGGCAAUGAAAGCAGGGGAAGCUGCAAAUGAUGACUUGUUAGGCAUACUGAUGGACACCAAUUUUAGAGAAACCGAAGAACAUGGAAAUAACAAAAAUGUUGGAAUGAGCUUCAACGACGUGAUGGAAGAGUGUAAGCUAUUUUACUUUGCCGGCCAAGAGACUACCUCUGUUUUGCUUAAUUGGACAAUGGUGCUUUUGAGCAAGCAUCAAGAUUGGCAAGAACGUGCAAGACAAGAGGUUUUGCAAGUUUUUGGCAAUAAUAAGCCAGAUUAUGAUGGAUUGAAUCACCUCAAAAUUGUAAGUACAAAGGCAGUUGAAUUUGAAUAUGCUAUACUGAUAAAUUUUGGUCUUAUUAAUUUGCGUUUUGUGUGCAUAUCUUACAGGUUCAAAUGAUAUUCAACGAGGUACUGAGGCUUUAUCCUCCAGCAGUUAUGCUUGCUCGAGCUGUUAAUAAAGAAACGAAACUUGGAAACUUGAUAUUACCCGCUGGGGUUCAAAUCAGUUUGCCAGUGAUCAUGGUUCACCAUGAUCCUGAACUUUGGGGUGAUGAUGCCAUUGAGUUUAAAC